rnacentral:rRNA from 1 species
AUUGAACGCUGGCGGCAGGCCUAACACAUGCAAGUCGAACGAGGCGCGGACGGGUGAGUAGUGUCUGGGACUGUGCCUGAUGGAGGGGGAUCACUACUGGAAACUGUAGCUAAUACCGCAUUCCAGCAGAUGUGCCCAGAUGGGAUUAGCUUGUUGGUGGGGUAGCGGCUCACCGAGGCGACGAUCCCUAGCUGGUCUGAGAGGAUGAACAGCCACACUGGAACUGAGACACGGUCCAGACUCCUACGGGAGGCAGCAGUGGGGAAUAUUGCACAAUGGGCGCAAGCCUGAUGCAGCCAUGCCGCGUGUAUGAAGAAGGCCUUAGGGUUGUAAAGUACUUUCAGCGGGGAGGCGUUACCCGCAGAAGAAGCACCGGCUAACUCCGUGCCAGCAGCCGCGGUAAUAC